rnacentral:rRNA from 1 species
GACGAACGCUGGCGGCGUGCUUAACACAUGCAAGUCGAACGAAGAGCGAUGGAAGCUUGCUUCUAUCAAUCUUAGUGGCGAACGGGUGAGUAACGCGUAAUCAACCUGCCCUUCAGAGGGGGACAACAGUUGGAAACGACUGCUAAUACCGCAUACGAUCUAAUCUCGGCAUCGAGGAUAGAUGAAAGGUGGCCUCUACAUGUAAGCUAUCACUGAAGGAGGGGAUUGCGUCUGAUUAGCUAGUUGGAGGGGUAACGGCCCACCAAGGCGAUGAUCAGUAGCCGGUCUGAGAGGAUGAACGGCCACAUUGGGACUGAGACACGGCCCAGACUCCUACGGGAGGCAGCAGUGGGGAAUCUUCCGCAAUGGACGAAAGUCUGACGGAGCAACGCCGCGGGAGGGAUGACGGCCUUCGGGUUGUAAAGCUCUGUUAAUCGGGACGAAAGGCCUUCUUGCGAAUAGUGAGAAGGAUUGACGGUACCGGAAUAGAAAGCCACGGCUAACUACGUG